rnacentral:rRNA from 1 species
GAUGAACGAUGGCGGCGUGCCUAAUACAUGCAAGUCGAGCGAACGGACGAGAAGCUUGCUUCUCUGAUGUUAGCGGCGGACGGGUGAGUAACACGUGGAUAACCUACCUAUAAGACUGGGAUAACUUCGGGAAACCGUAGCUAAUACCGGAUAAUAUUUUGAACCGCAUGGUUCAAAAGUGAAAGACGGUCUUGCUGUCACUUAUAGAUGGAUCCGCGCUGCAUUAGCUAGUUGGUAAGGUAACGGCUUACCAAGGCAACGAUGCAUAGCCGACCUGAGAGGGUGAUCGGCCACACUGGAACUGAGACACGGUCCAGACUCCUACGGGAGGCAGCAGUAGGGAAUCUUCCGCAAUGGGCGAAAGCCUGACGGAGCAACGCCGCGUGAGUGAUGAAGGUCUUCGGAUCGUAAAACUCUGUUAUUAGGGAAGAACAUAUGUGUAAGUAACUGUGCACAUCUUGACGGUACCUAAUCAGAAAGCCACGGCUAACUACGUG